GACGAACGCUGGCGGCGCGCUUAACACAUGCAAGUCGAACGGAAAGGCCUGCUUUCCCUUGUGGAUUGCGGGUACUCGAGUGGCGAACGGGUGAGUAACACGUGAGUGAUCUGCCCCCAACUUGGGUAUAAGCCUGGGAAACUGGGUCUAAUUCCCGAUAGGACUGCAGGGUGGUGCCUGUGGUGGAAAACGAUUUUCUAGUGGUUGGGGAUGAGCUCGCGGCCUAUCAGCUUGUUGGUGGGGUAAUGGCCUACCAAGGCGGCGACGGGUAGCCGGCCUGAGAGGGUGGACGGCGACAUUGGGACUGGGACACGGCCCAGACUCCUACGGGAGGCAGCAGUGGGGAAUAUUGCACAAUGGGCGGAAGCCUGAUGCAGCGACGCCGCGUGGGGGAUGACGGCCUUCGGGUGGUAAACUCCUUUCGACCGCGAGGAAGCCACCUGGUUGGAAGGGUGGUGACGGUAGCGGUAGAAGAAGCACCGGCUAACUACGUG
rnacentral:rRNA from 1 species